rnacentral:rRNA from 1 species
GAGUUUGAUCUUGGCUCAGAUUGAACGCUGGCGGCAGGCCUAACACAUGCAAGUCGAGCGGUAGAGAGAAGCUUGCUUCUCUUGAGAGCGGCGGACGGGUGAGUAAUGCCUAGGAAUCUGCCUGGUAGUGGGGGAUAACGCUCGGAAACGGACGCUAAUACCGCAUACGUCCUACGGGAGAAAGCAGGGGACCUUCGGGCCUUGCGCUAUCAGAUGAGCCUAGGUCGGAUUAGCUAGUUGGUGAGGUAAUGGCUCACCAAGGCGACGAUCCGUAACUGGUCUGAGAGGAUGAUCAGUCACACUGGAACUGAGACACGGUCCAGACUCCUACGGGAGGCAGCAGUGGGGAAUAUUGGACAAUGGGCGAAAGCCUGAUCCAGCCAUGCCGCGUGUGUGAAGAAGGUCUUCGGAUUGUAAAGCACUUUAAGUUGGGAGAAGGGCAGUAAAUUAAUACUUUGCUGUUUUGACGUUUACCGACAGAAUAAGCACCGGCUAACUCUGUGCCAGCA